rnacentral:rRNA from 1 species
UACGGAGGAUGCAAGCGUUAUCCGGAAUGAUUGGGCGUAAAGCGUCCGCAGGUGGCUGUGUAAGUCUGCUGUCAAAGAGCGAAGCUCAACUUCGUAAAGGCAGUGGAAACUACACGGCUAGAGUGCGUUCGGGGCAGAGGGAAUUCCUGGUGUAGCGGUGAAAUGCGUAGAGAUCAGGAAGAACACCGGUGGCGAAAGCGCUCUGCUGGACCUGCACUGACACUGAGGGACGAAAGCUAGGGGAGCGAAAGGG